CCCUUAGAUGUUCUGGGCUGCACGCGCGCUACACUGAUGCGCUCAACGAGUUUAUGACCUUGCCCGGAAGGGUUGGGUAAUCUUCUUAAAACGCAUCGUGAUGGGGAUAGAUUAUUGCAAUUAUUAAUCUUCAACGAGGAAUUCCUAGUAAGCGCGAGUCAUCAGCUCGUGCUGAUUACGUCCCCGCCCUUUGUACACACCGCCCGUCGCUCCUACCGAUUGAUUGAUCCGGUGAAUUACAUAGAAUUUUGCGUUUUACAUGACGGAAGACGAAGUGUUUUAAACCUUAUCAUUUAGAGGAAGGAGAAGUCGUAACA
rnacentral:rRNA from 1 species